ensembl:lncRNA
ACGUUUUAAUCAGUCGAGUACUUUUCUCAAUCGCUAAUGUAGGCUACUUUAUUCUUCAUCUCACAGGAACCCUAAAUCAUCAUCACGAAAGUAAACAACAACAAGUCAGAGCGGUGAGGAGCAAUGACCCCCGUCGGCCAGAGCGUCCGCCGACACAGUGUCACUCCAAGGCCUCUGGAAAACUAGAAAUAGAUGAUAGACAGGUUGAUGGACACAGAUGUUGAUGGACACAGAGGUUGAUAGACAGGGAGGUUGAACCGAUCGGUGGCGGUUAAGUAGAUGGACAGGCAGUAGAUGGACAGGCAGUAGAGGGACAGGCAGUAGAGGGACAGGCAGUAGAUGGACAGGCAGUAGAGGGACAGGCAGUAGAUGGACAGGCAGUAGAUGGACAGGCAGUAGAGGGACAGGCAGGCAAGUCAUGGCUGGGUUUCCUUAAUAAAGAGUUAAAGUUAAAAGCACUUUGUUCUCGUUGUGUGUUUCUGGUUCCACCAACUGCAUCUGAAUCAAAAUGUCUGCGUAAGAGUUUGUUCCAUCUGUCCUUUUCUCG